UGGACCAUUGUGCACGUUGAUGUUGUGAGU
rnacentral:piRNA from 1 species